AAAUCUCAACUCUUCCAAUGGUUGUUGCAACUGUUGGCUUUUAGAGCUUGGAUGUGAGGGGUUGUGCCGGCUAAACUCAGUCAUGAGUGGGUGGGCUCCCUUGAAAUGCAUUAGUGCGCAGCUCUGCUAGUUUGCCUCAGGUGUGAUAAUCUAUCUACUCCUUGGUGAACAUGCAUGAAUAAGUGCUUCUAACAGUCUCUUUGCUGAGACAAAUCUUUAUUGAU
rnacentral:misc_RNA from 1 species